CUGUGGCUGACGUCAUCUGGAGGAGAUUUGCUUUCCUUUUCUCCAAAAGGGGAGGAAAUUGAAACUGAGUGGCCCAUGAUGGAAAGAGGGGAAGUCCAGGGGAACAGGAGGCCUCUGGCUGAAGGCAGAGGCUAACAUGGGGUUCGGAGCGACUUUGGCCGUUGGCCUGACCAUCUUUGUGCUGCCUGCUGUCACUAUCAUCAUCUGCUUCACCUGCUCCUGCUGCUGCCUGUACAAGACGUGCCGCCGGCCGCGUCCAGUUGUCACCACCACCACGUCCACCACUGUGGUGCACGCCCCUUACCCUCAGCCUCCAAGUGUGCCGCCCAGCUACCCUGGACCGAGCUACCGGGGCUACCACGCCAUGCCCCCUCAGCCAGGGAUGCCAGCAGUGCCCUAACCAAUGCAGUACCCACUGCCUUACCCAGCCCAGCCAAUGGGCGCCGGCCUACCACGAGACCCUGGCUGGAGGAGCAGCGGCACCCUACUCCGCCAGCCAGCCUCCUUACAACCCGGCCUACGCGGAUGCCCCGAAGGCGGCCCUCUGAGCAUGCCCUGGCCUCUCCGGCUGCUACUUGGUUAUGUUGUGUGUAUGUGAGUGGUGUGCAGGCACGGUUCCCUACGCCCCACGUGUGCUGUGUGUGUCCUGCUUGUAUAUGUGGCUUCCUCUCAUGCUGACGAGGGGAAGAACAAUCCUUGCCAGAGUGCCCUGGGACCAGACUUUGUUCUCUUCCUCACCUGAAAUUAUGCUUCUUAAAAAUCUCAAGCCAAACUCAAAGAAUGGGGUGGUGGGGGUACCCUGUGAGGUGGCCCCUGAGAGGUGGGGGGCUCUCCAGGGCACAUCGGGAGUUCUUUUCCGGCUUACCCUAGGGUGACCAAGUAUGGCCUGUCACACCGGGAUGGCGCAGCUGUGUGGUGCAGAUGUGUCCUGGUUUCAGCAGCAUAGCCAGCUGCUGCUCGAGGCCAUGGCUUGUCCCCAGAGUUGGAGGUACCCUUUGCAGAGUCAGGGGCCUGAUGCAGGUGAAGCUUGGGAUCUGACCAACUUGGGCUUUGAUCCUCUCAGCAGCUGUCCAUUGCUCCCUGGGGCCUGUGUCAUGCCCAUUAGGGGUCAGGCAGCCUCCUGAUGCCAGAACACCUCAGGCAGAGCCCUCCUACCUGACACCCUGUAUCCUCCCUGGGACCACCUGAGGGCCACAUGCACACACAGCCUAGCUGCCCACAGGGAGCUCUCCUGCCCUCGCUGGCCCUGCCCUUCCCACAGGUGAGCAGGGCAGCCUGUCCACCAGCACACUCAGGUCUCUUCCCUGCAGUUUUCAUUUCAUUUUAGCCAAACAUUUUGCCUGUUUUCUGUUUUGAACAUGAUAGUGAUGUGAGGCUGAAACCCCUGGGUUGUGGAGGGAAAUUGGCUCGGAGGAGAAGGACAACCUGGCAACUGUGAGAGUCCCUGCUUCCCCUGACACCAGCUCAUGGAAGAUGCAACUCCUGUACCCCAGUCCAGUGUGUUCUGGCAGCAGGGACACCUGGCCAACCAGCCAUCUGGACCAAAGGUGGGUUGUGGGGCGCUGGAUGGCAGCUCUGGCCCAGACAUGAAUACCUCGGUGUUCCUCGUCGUCUAUUAGUUUCACCAGAGCUGUCUUAGCUUUGUAUCUGUUGUGUUUCUGAGAGUCUAGGAUCUGCACCUGUGUUUAUAAUAAAUGCAAUCGUUU